GAUGAACGCUGGCGGCGUGCCUAAUACAUGCAAGUCGAGCGAACGGACGAGAAGCUUGCUUUUCUGAUGUUAGCGGCGGAAGGGUGAGUAACACGUGGAUAACCUACCUAUAAGACUGGGAUAACUUCGGGAAACCGGAGCUAAAACCGGAUAAUAUUUUGAACCGCAUGGUUCAAAAGUGAAAGACGGUCUUGCUGUCACUUAUAGAUGGAUCCGCGCUGCAUUAGCUAGUUGGUAAGGUAACGGCUUACCAAGGCAACGAUGCAUAGCCGACCUGAGAGGGUGAUCGGCCACACUGGAACUGAGACACGGUCCAGACUCCUACGGGAGGCAGCAGUAGGGAAUCUUCCGCAAUGGGCGAAAGCCUGACGGAGCAACGCCGCGUGAGUGAUGAAGGUCUUCGGAUCGUAAAACUCUGUUAUUAGGGAAGAACAUAUGUGUAAGUAACUGUGCACAUCUUGACGGUACCUAAUCAGAAAGCCACGGCUAACUACGUG
rnacentral:rRNA from 1 species